GGGGGCAUCCCUGCAGAGUCGGAGAAAUCCAGGGAGUCCUGGGCCUGCCAGGCAGGGCGGCUACCACUCUGCCCAGAGGUCACCACAGGCACUGGGAAGGGAAAUGCUUUUUCUCCUUCCUAAGACACCAUCUACUUCAAGGCCAAUAUCCAUUUCAUAAUAGUGCUGGGGACGGGGGGGUGGGGCGGCAAAAAGAAACCACAGUAACUGUGUACUUCGGGCAAAGUGCCUGGUCCUCAGGAACCCAGGACGUGACGGGGAAGGCAUCUGCAUGCAGGGAAACAUCCCAUUGUAAACCCUCUGGGCCUUCGAAACACAGCACCGAAAGGGCCUUAUCUGGACCCUCCUGCUCCCCCUGCACAUCACUGACAGAGUCUUCCAGUCCCAGGAAACCUUGGAACACACAAAAAGGCACGCUGCGUCCUUCCCUCGCCCUUCCAGGGCCUCCCUGAGCUGCUCCACACUCUGGACCCAAUGGGAAAUAGAAAACCCACAGGAAUGCCAACGACUCUCCUCCGUAGAAACGCCAGUGGUGCCCGUCACGUGCUGAUUGAACUCAUCCUCGACCCUAAGGUAGCUCCUUGCUGGGACGGUGAAUCCACACGGCCAACACCUUACCCCACCGCAGUGUUUUGAGAGCUUCCUUCAUGGGCUGAAGAGCAGGAUGUGCCAGGAUGUGGCACACAGCUUGUUUUCCUAAAUGACACAGAUAGACCCCACCUGUGCAUGGUUCCCAUAGAUGGAAACCACCAGAAAGGCACCCCAGAGAGUGAGAAUGGCAAGCGUGGUGAGAGCAUUCGCCUGGCCUGUGUGUGUGUCCCCGUGCAUCACGUCUGUCACAGGCACAAACUCCUGUAUGUUUUUUAACAUAGGACUCAAGUAAGGACUGGAAAGAUGUUUAUCAAAUAAAACCAAUCUGCUAAUGA